rnacentral:tRNA from 1 species
GCCCGAGUAGCUCAGGUUGGAAGAGCAGGCGCAUCGUAAAGCGCCAGGUCGUCGGUUCGAAUCCGGCCUCGGGCU